UGCAGUUGAGCGCUGAAGGUUGGUACUUGUACCGACUGGAUGAGCAGCGAACGGGUGAGUAACGCGUGGGGAAUCUGCCUUUGAGCGGGGGACAACAUUUGGAAACGAAUGCUAAUACCGCAUAAAAACUUUAAACACAAGUUUUAAGUUUGAAAGAUGCAAUUGCAUCACUCAAAGAUGAUCCCGCGUUGUAUUAGCUAGUUGGUGAGGUAAAGGCUCACCAAGGCGAUGAUACAUAGCCGACCUGAGAGGGUGAUCGGCCACAUUGGGACUGAGACACGGCCCAAACUCCUACGGGAGGCAGCAGUAGGGAAUCUUCGGCAAUGGACGAAAGUCUGACCGAGCAACGCCGCGUGAGUGAAGAAGGUUUUCGGAUCGUAAAACUCUGUUGGUAGAGAAGAACGUUGGUGAGAGUGGAAAGCUCAUCAAGUGACGGUAACUACCCAGAAAGGGACGGCUAACUACGUGCCAGCAGCCGCGGUAAUACGUAGGUCCCGAGCGUUGUCCGGAUUUAUUGGGCGUAAAGCGAGCGCAGGUGGUUUAUUAAGUCUGGUGUAAAAGGCAGUGGCUCAACCAUUGUAUGCAUUGGAAACUGGUAGACUUGAGUGCAGGAGAGGAGAGUGGAAUUCCAUGUGUAGCGGUGAAAUGCGUAGAUAUAUGGAGGAACACCGGUGGCGAAAGCGGCUCUCUGGCCUGUAACUGACACUGAGGCUCGAAAGCGUGGGGAGCAAACAGGAUUAGAUACCCUGGUAGUCCACGCCGUANACGAUGAGUGCUAGAUGUAGGGAGCUAUAAGUUCUCUGUAUCGCAGCUAACGCAAUAAGCACUCCGCCUGGGGAGUACGACCGCAAGGUUGAAACUCAAAGGAAUUGACGGGGGCCCGCACAAGCGGU
rnacentral:rRNA from 1 species